rnacentral:lncRNA from 1 species
AUCAGCUUUCAUCGUGGAGGAGGCGUGGGUGGACCGAGGUACCACAAGUUGCCAGGAAUGCCUGACCAGAAACUGCUCUUGGAUGCUGGCCUGGGUGCUGGAAUAUGGAAAUGAGGAAGAUCCUGCCUGAGGAUUUCAUGACAGUGCUGCGAUUACCGACGUGAGCCACUGUGCCCAGCCUCACUUUAAAAAAAAAAAAAGGUUAUGAAGCAUCUCAACACAAGACCUCCUUUGCUCAUCACAACCACCCAGUGAAGCAGGCAAGACAACAGAAACUCCCCACCUGUGAUAGAUGUGAGGCCUGAAGUCUCCCACAUACCCACGGCAGAUGCAACGCACAGCGGUGACCAAUGGUGAAGGAUCUAAAACCUGAAAAGAGGCCAAAUGAUUCCUCAAAACCACGCAAGUACGAAGUAGCAGAGCGGAUCUCAAAUCCAGACACAGAGGGAUUGAAAUGCAUAACAAUAGAGAUGAAACACGAAGAGUGAUAAAUGAAGAUUGAGUGUGCACACCUUCUGGAGGAGCCCUGAUUGAGUAUUUUAAAAUACUACUAAAGUCAUGCCGUGUGACUUCUGAAGCUAGCUCCUAAGAAGUCCUUGCAGCUUCUGCCUGCGACUCUUAGAACACUUGCUUUGAAGGAUGCCAGAUGCUGUCUUAAAAGUCUGAGCACUCUGAAACCAUCAUGCUGUGAGGAAGCCCAAGCUAACCACAUGGGCAAAAAAGAUGCCCUCUGACUGCCACCAUUUGAGACACUCUAAUUAAGAACUGCCUCAUUGAGCCCAUGAGGCCCUGUGAAUGAUAAUAAUAAAUUGUUUUUAACCACUAUGUUUUUGGAUUUGUUAUAAGUUUAUAGAUAACAAGAAAAAGUUAUAUUAGCAUGGUAAUAAAAUUAUGGAUAUGUGUAA